AUUGAACGCUGGCGGCAUGCCUUACACAUGCAAGUCGAACGGCAGCGCGGGAGCAAUCCUGGCGGCGAGUGGCGAACGGGUGAGUAAUAUAUCGGAACGUGUCCUGUCGUGGGGGAUAGCCCGGUGAAAACCGGAUUAAUACCGCAUACGAUCGAGAGAUGAAAGUGGGGGACCUUCGGGCCUCACGCGAUGAGAUGAGCCGAUGCCGGAUUAGCUAGUUGGCGGGGUAAAGGCCCACCAAGGCGACGAUCCGUAGCUGGUCUGAGAGGAUGAUCAGCCACACUGGAACUGAGACACGGUCCAGACUCCUACGGGAGGCAGCAGUGGGGAAUAUUGGACAAUGGGGGCAACCCUGAUCCAGCCAUGCCGCGUGUGUGAAGAAGG
rnacentral:rRNA from 1 species